GAUGAACGCUGGCGGCGUGCCUAAUACAUGCAAGUCGAGCGAACAGACGAGGAGCUUGCUCCUCUGACGUUAGCGGCGGACGGGUGAGUAACACGUGGAUAACCUACCUAUAAGACUGGGAUAACUUCGGGAAACCGGAGCUAAUACCGGAUAAUAUAUUGAACCGCAUGGUUCAAUAGUGAAAGACGGUUUUGCUGUCACUUAUAGAUGGAUCCGCGCCGCAUUAGCUAGUUGGUAAGGUAACGGCUUACCAAGGCAACGAUGCGUAGCCGACCCGAGAGGGUGAUCGGCCACACUGGAACUGAGACACGGUCCAGACUCCUACGGGAGGCAGCAGUAGGGAAUCUUCCGCAAUGGGCGAAAGCCUGACGGAGCAACGCCGCGUGAGUGAUUAAGGUCUUCGGAUCGUAAAACUCUGUUAUUAGGGAAGAACAAAUGUGUAAGUAACUAUGCACGUCUUGACGGUACCUAAUCAGAAAGCCACGGCUAACUACGUG
rnacentral:rRNA from 1 species